ensembl:lncRNA
CUGCUGCUCUCCACAUAUCAUCAAGCAUCUUGAAGCAAAUUCAUUACCAGAAGGCUGGUGUGUGUCCUUGCUACAUUUUCCAGCUUAUCUAAAUUGCUGAAAUAGUCAAGCAACAUGCUUUUAAAAGUAGAAGUCCAAAAGUAUCAAGCUAAGUUUCAGCUGGUAGGUAAGUAAAGAUGCAAAGGACAUUUACCAUUUGCUCCUUAUCAAAUCCUGUAAUGGAGAUAAUGGAACAUCACCAUGAGAAGGCCCUCACUGUUUUCACCAGAAGCAAACAAAACUAGUGAAGUCAGGCCCUGGGAGACUGCAGUCCUUACGCAGCUUUCUGAUACGUCGCACAUUGAUGUGACAUCCUGGUGUGGCAGAGAGAAGAUGAGCCUCAAAAGAGAUAUGAAAUUGCCCAACUCAACAUUCGAUAUGGAACAUAAAUGAAUGUCGAACAUGUAUGUAUGCUAUAUAUUUGCAGGCCUUUAGUGCUGACAUGCCACAACUCCCUGGACUCAGCAGUGAAGAUGUUCAAGCCCAGUGCAACAGGACCAUAAGAAAGACAUUGAGACCCCUCACUACAAGAAAGACAGUGAAGCCCUAGAAUGUGAUCAGAGAAGGGCAUCAAAGCUGGUGAGGAGUCUGGAGCACAAGUCUUAUGGGAAGCAGCUGAGAGAACUGAGGUUGUUCAGUCUGAAGAAGAGGAGGAUCAGGGGAGACCUUAUCACUGUCUACAACCAUCUGAAAGGAGGUUACGCAUGAACUACAGAGAACCCUGCCUAGCAGGUAACCUCACACGAGGAGUACACCUAAAUACUGGAAACCCCCCAGGAAUUUUGUGGCCAUCUAUCAGCACUGACACAUAGAAACUGAGGAUCUGGAGCACACCUGCAGCCACCUGGAAGCCAGACUGUGAGAAAAGAGGCUCCUGAAGGAAUAUUGGCAGCUGCUCCUGGACAGUGCUACACUGAAAAUGUUGCUGUGAUGAGAAAAUUGGAGGCCAGAAUGAGGAUGUGAAAUAAUGUUGAUCUCCGGCAGUUACAAACUGAAAAGGAGGAGCUUGAAGAAAAACAUCAGGGGACCAAAUGCUGGGAUAUGUGCAUUGAACAUGGAACAAGAUAUUCCCGCAUGCUGGAACUCAGUGUGUAAGUGAAGCUCUAAUGUUAAGCACAAAACAGGGGAAAAAUAAAUGUACCUGUAGGGAAGGAGUUGUAGGUGCACACUGAAAGUAUGAGUAUGCCAAGAUUUCCCUCUGAGGCCUGGAGAAGUACCAGGCUGCAUUGUGGAAUACCCUGAGUUGGAAAAGACCCACAAGGAUCAUCAAGGCUAACUCCAGGCUCCACAUUGGACCACCUAACAACCAGACCAUACCUCUGAGAGUGUGCCCUGGGCAGCCCGUCCCAUGCCCACCGCCCUGUGGUGCAGCCCCUGUCCCUAACCCCCAGCUGCCCCUCCCCUGACACAGCUCCAUGCCGUUCCCUCGGGCCCUGUCGCUGUCACACAGAGCAGAGCUCAGCGCUGCCCCUCCGCUCCCUGUGAGGAGCUGCAGCCGCCAUCAGCCCUCCCUUCAGCCUAAACUUAAUUCAAUUUGUAUUUGAUUUGGUCAACCAGCCCCGAAGCCUGCACAGUUAUUUGUAUUUCAGAGGAAAAAUGGAUUACUGCAAGCUGCAUCAACUGACCUAACUUCUCUGCAAAGCUUGUGCCCCUUUGUGCUUAAAGGACUGUGUGUGGGCAGCUGAGUUAAUUCCUGCAUCCCAGCUGAAGGACAGUAACCUCUGGCUGAGGACAAACCUUUGUAACAGGUGUGCAAACUGAUUGCCUUGUAAGCAGUGCGAACCACUCUUAAACCCAUCUAAAGUCUUAGAAAUAUGUUUCUAGAAAUGUCUUUUAUCUUGCUGUUGCUUGAUUGCACUGGCUUAAAAUUUACCUUUCAAUCAAAUUGGUGGAAUUUCACAUGUAUUCUUCUCUUCAUGCUCGAUGGUUCUCAAAAAUUAAUACAGCCUCAGUCUGAAGAUGAAUGAACAGGAAAGGAAAAGGUUUCAUCUUUGACAGUAAGCCUGAGUGUGACUCUGAUCUUUUCCAAGUUUAACCUAGUGCAGUGUCACUGAUAUCAAAGAAGAUGUGCUCCCUUUAUACAGAAAUAAAUUUGAUCAGUGGUUAGGCUGUUAAUUUGGCAUUUCUCUACCAGAUGCAAGGUUUUUAUAACAUUACCAGCUUCUUAAUAGUUGAAAAAUGAAACUUUACAUUAGUGUCAGGUUUGCGGGGGAGAAGCAGAAUGAAGAAUGGAAAAAGAUGAUAAUAUUUGCCUACAGCAGACAAUUGAAGAGCAAUCUACUUUAACAGUGUCACCUAUAUAAUUUCUCCUGUCUACCAUUGCCAUAGUUUUCCUCACCUCAGGGGCAGAGUUGGCAUUAUUUAGCAGAGAUCCCAAAUUCUCUCUUGUUUCUGUGAGGUGCUCUUUUAGUUUUUUCCCCCAGAAACAAAAAGUAAAGCCACCCCUGGAUUCUGUAGAACAGCACAAAGAAGUCAGCACAUUGCUGGCAGCAGAGAGUCGAAUGUUGUUGCACAGCCACUGCCUUUCUACUCUUAGGCAACAGAGUGUGGUUUUUAUUUUUAUUUUUUUUAUUUUUUAUUUUUUAGUUUAAUGUCUGUUAAAAUGUUUUCUUACAUUUAAAAAGCUUAAACUCCUC